rnacentral:lncRNA from 1 species
GCACUGUGGUCAUUGUUCCAGGGAACUGGAGGCAGGGAAGAGACAGGGCAGGAGGGAGACGAAACCAGCUUGUUAACAAAGCCCUCUGGAAAUUCAGUCUUACAGUAUAGCUUGGAGAAGCUCGUAUUAUAUAACUGUUAACACAAGGCCACUGAUUCCUAAUAAGAGAGGUGUCAGGGAUGGAGCACAGGCCUAAGACUUCCAGGACCUGGCUUCAGGAACACAAGAGCACCUGCAAUGUCUCCUGUUUCUUGCAAGAGAGCCAUUUCCCAGCCACCUUCCUUCAAAGGGCACCUCUCAGGCAGCCAUGCUUUGUUGCAUCAUGUGACCACCAUCCCCACCCCUCUCAGCUCCCAGCUCAUUGGACAGAACUGAUGUCUGGCUCAAGGACAGCCAACUGAUUGGCUACAAUGACCUAUGAGGUGGCCUGGG